GACGAACGCUGGCGGCGUGCUUAACACAUGCAAGUCGAAAGAUGAAGAAGAGAAACGCGAACUUCGGUUCAAAUUUCACUUCGGAUUAGUGGCAGACGGGUGAGUAACGCGUGAGCAACCUACCUCUUACAAAGGGAUAGCCUCGGGAAACCGUGAUUAAUACCAUAUGACACAUUCAUAAGGCAUCUUAAGAAUGUUAAAGCUACGGCGGUAAGAGAUGGGCUCGCGUCCCAUUAGCUAGUUGGUGAGGUAACGGCCCACCAAGGCGACGAUGGGUAACCGGCCUGAGAGGGUGAACGGUCACAUUGGAACUGAGACACGGUCCAAACUCCUACGGGAGGCAGCAGUGGGGAAUAUUGCACAAUGGAGGGAACUCUGAUGCAGCGACGCCGCGUGAGCGAUGAAGGAAUUCGUUUCGUAAAGCUCUGUUCUAUGGGAAGAAAAGGACUGUACCAUAGGAGAAAGCCCCGGCUAAAUACGUG
rnacentral:rRNA from 1 species